GCCGGGUGUGGUGGCACACGCCUGUAAUCCCAGCGGCUCAGGAGGCUGAGGCAGGAGGGUCUCAAGUUCAAAGCCAGCCUCAGCAAUGGCGAGGAGCUAAGUAACUCAGUGAGAUCCUGUUUCUA
rnacentral:sRNA from 1 species